rnacentral:ncRNA from 1 species
ACGCCGCCCGUGCGGUGUUCAUGCUCCUCAAGGGGCCUGAAGUGCGGGGGUGGUGCCGUGUCGGCGCAGCACCACCCCCGUCUC